CUACCUUAAGGGCAAACCAGUUGAAAGACUGGGACGCAAAGUGACAGCACUGAUGGAUAUAGCACUAAUGGAUAUAUAGUGGGCUGCGCUACUAGG
rnacentral:ncRNA from 1 species